rnacentral:snRNA from 1 species
AUCGCUUCUUGGCCUUUUGGCUAAGAUCAAGUGUAGUAUCUGUUCUUAUCAGUUUAAAAAGAAAAAGUAGUACAAGUUUCCUCCCCUAUCUGAUAGCACAUUUCUGUGAAACUUCAAAAUGCCUUAAGUGAAAAAGCAAUU